rnacentral:rRNA from 1 species
GUCAGCCGCCGCGGUAACACCGGCGGCCCGAGUGGUGAUCGUGAUUAUUGGGUCUAAAGGGUCCGUAGCCGGUUUGGUCAGUCCUCCGGGAAAUCUGAUAGCUCAACUAUUAGGCUUUCGGGGGAUACUGCCAGACUUGGAACCGGGAGAGGUAAGAGGUACUACAGGGGUAGGAGUGAAAUCUUGUAAUCCCUGUGGGACCACCUGUGGCGAAGGCGUCUUACCAGAACGGGUUCGACGGUGAGGGACGAAAGCUGGGGGCACGAACCGGAUUAGAUACCCGGGUAGUCCCAGCCGUAACGAUGCUCGCUAGGUGUCAGGCAUGGCGCGACCGUGUCUGGUGCCGCAGGGAAGCCGUGAAGCGAGCCACCUGGGAAGUACGGCCGCAAGGCUGAAACUUAAAGGAAUUGGCGGGGGAGCACAACAACGGGUGGAAGCCUGCGGUUUAAUUGGACUCAACGCCGGACAACUCACCGGGGGCGACAGCAAUAUGUAGGCCAAGCUGAAGACUUUGCCUGAAUCGCUGAGAGGUGGUGCAUGG